GUAAACUAAGUUGCUACCAUGCAGUCGAGCGGAUGAAGGGAGCUGCUCCUGGAUUCAGCGGCGGACGGGUGAGUAAUGCCUAGGAAUCUGCCUGGUAGUGGGGGAUAACGUCCGGAAACGGGCGCUAAUACCGCAUACGUCCUGAGGGAGAAAGUGGGGGAUCUUCGGACCUCACGCUAUCAGAUGAGCCUAGGUCGGAUUAGCUAGUUGGUGGGGUAAAGGCCUACCAAGGCGACGAUCCGUAACUGGUCUGAGAGGAUGAUCAGUCACACUGGAACUGAGACACGGUCCAGACUCCUACGGGAGGCAGCAGUGGGGAAUAUUGGACAAUGGGCGAAAGCCUGAUCCAGCCAUGCCGCGUGUGUGAAGAAGGUCUUCGGAUUGUAAAGCACUUUAAGUUGGGAGGAAGGGCAGUAAGUUAAUACCUUGCUGUUUUGACGUUACCAACAGAAUAAGCACCGGCUAACUUCGUGCCAGCAGCCGCGGUAAUACGAAGGGUGCAAGCGUUAAUCGGAAUUACUGGGCGUAAAGCGCGCGUAGGUGGUUCAGCAAGUUGGAUGUGAAAUCCCCGGGCUCAACCUGGGAACUGCAUCCAAAACUACUGAGCUAGAGUACGGUAGAGGGUGGGUGGAAUUUCCUGUGUAGCGUGAA
rnacentral:rRNA from 1 species